rnacentral:rRNA from 1 species
GUAGGUGGCAAGCGUUGUCCGGAAUUAUUGGGCGUAAAGCGCGCGCAGGCGGUCCUUUAAGUCUGAUGUGAAAGCCCACGGCUCAACCGUGGAGGGUCAUUGGAAGCUGGGGGACUUGAGUACAGAAGAGGAAAGCGGAAUUCCAAGUGUAGCGGUGAAAUGCGUAGAGAUUUGGAGGAACACCAGUGGCGAAGGCGGCUUUCUGGUCUGUAACUGACGCUGAGGCGCGAAAGCGUGGGGAGCAAACAGGGAUUAGAUACCCUGGUAGUCCACGCCGUAAACGAUGAGUGCUAAGUGUUAGGGGGUUUCCCGCCCCUUAGUGCUGCAGCUAACGCAUUAAGCACUCCGCCUGGGGAGUACGGCCGCAAGGCUG